CAAGAGUUUACCGGGACCUGGCCAUGAACUGAAUCAACUGAACAGAUGUUCCUAAUUAGCACCUGGGAGCAGAGGUUCGAUUACACCUGGAAAAUAUACCUGUAUUGAAAAGGAGAAGAUUGGAAAUAGUGAUUAUAUCGAAUACUAUACCAACACUACAUGGAAACAUGACUAAGGCAGGAACUUCAUUGUAGUCGUUUCAGCGGAUUUGGAGAUAGCAUUUAGCAAAGGUAACUGCGUGUAUCUAUUGGAUAUUCUGUGAGUGGAGGCCGUGACCAUUGAUGUGCAAAGGUUAUCCUGUGACGACUGCCAAAAUGACAAUGCUCUCUUAAAAUCAAUUAUGUGAGGACUCGUAUCACCAACUAUGAUGACGUCACACAGUACUUCCCUCUAUUCCAUGGAGUUUUCUGGUACGCAGGCAAUUCAACAAAAUCACCAAUCGCGUAUGAAUGAAUUCUUCUGAGUCAGCUAUGACAUACGCACUUGGUGCUAUGUGAAAUCCAGUGUUCGAUUUUUAUGAGGUAACUUCGCUGUGUGUAAGUGUCGCGGCUUUUGUUAACUCCAUUCCACACAAAGCAGGGAUUAAAACGAGUCAGGGUAUGGGUACUACAAUCAAUACCACGAUGGUAAACACUCUGUGUUGGCUGAUUUGGACUGUUAGAAAGCGGUGGGCCUGUUCAUUACCUACCGCUGUAACCAGACAGCACUGGUGUUUGUCGAGGAACACAAUGCCCCUCCACGCUCCACUGAACACUCCCCUUUGUAUCCUAACACUGUUACUGUGGUGCAAGAUUUCACCUGUUCAUUCAGCACCAGUUAUGUCCUCGGACUCCGGCUCUGACUACAGUGCUUAUUCUAAUAAUAAUUAUAUCGGUAACGGCCCUCCCAAAGAAGGCGAAAUGGUUCCCGGCUACAAGUAUUCUUACGAGGGGACGACUGUCGCUACAACCAUGUACGAAGGGGUGAUCAUCUGCCUGCUGGCCAUUACUGCCUUCGUUGGACUCGUGGUGUGGGUUUUGAAGUCAAACUUUGAAGAGAGACAGACCCGGCGGAUGAGGCGCGAGGCAUCGCUGAGGGACAGGAACUCGAAUGUUAGCCCGCUAAUGACACCCGACUCGGAGGAGUCAUGACGGCAGGCGAACCGUCCAAGAACUUCAUCCUCCACUGUAUAUAAUAAUCAAUCUGCGUUGUAGGUACGCCGCACAUAAAGCUUGGUGUAUAUAUAACGUCUGUAUAUAACAUGCAACAUGCCUAUUCCAAAGCUAUGGGGUUGAAAACCACCAGAGAAAGACACACACCAUCAUCACAGCGUACAUCUUUGCCCACCGAAGUCCCACCUUGUUUGUUUUUGGAAUGUCGCAACACUGUUACACGUCUACUUUGUAUCUAGAGGGAGCUCCGUUUGUUCAUGGAAGUUAAGUUCUCAUCAUAUACGGUGUAUAUAUUCAUCAACGAUGUCCUGAUUAACAUGAACCAAGAAAUUGCUAACAAUGAUUGAGCAGUGCAAGAUGAAACAUAACUGGACUAUUUGGAAAUAACCUUGGAAUAAAUUGGUGAGAGAAUAAUGUACACGGUGACCAUGCCAUCGCAGUGAGUGCUUAGCUGAAUGACUAGUUUCAAAAUUGCACAUCAUUCAACGUUCGUCUUGUUUCAUUGACUUGUUUUCCCACGUACAAACUGCCACCAAAAUAACCAUAACUUUGUGAGAAAGCAACAGCAAACACAAACUAACGUAGUCUGGGUUAGAAUCGGUUCAAUGAGCGGUUCAUUUAAGGCAUCCCGCAUUGGCAGUGUCAUUUGCAUAUACCUGUAAAUGAAAAAGAAAAGCACGUUCGAGCUCAGGGAAAGUACCUUUUGCCUGAGGUACAACAUGUUCAUAACUCUCAUUGUUUAGGGUCGGGGCCGUGGCAACAUAUUCUAUGCUGCAGGUUAAAAAGGGUCAUCACAAUUUCCAGUCAAAGUUUAAAUUAGUAUUGUCUAAAAAUAAAAAAAAUAAAAAAUAAACAUACAAACUUUGUGCCACUAAACCAGAAAUCAUAAGUGGUGUUUACCUUGUAAAUACAUCCAGUAAUUCGAAAAAUCACUACGAGUUGUUAUGUACCCGACUUUAAAAAAGGAAAUGAAAUGGUCGUAGAGCUUUUGUUGGCCAAUUUUGUGAACCGGUUGUUCCAUCGAACCGGAUCGGUUCCUGAUAGGCGAGUAUUUCCAAGGUUUUGUUCCGGGAAAAUAGCGAUAAAAAAGGAGGAACAAAAAUUUACCUCGGUGGUAACACUGGAGCUCAAAAACAACUAACCGACCUCGAUGUGGUUAUAGGGGAAUUGGAUAAGAUGAAAGUGUUUUGGCAACAUUUGCAAAAACACGUUUCGCCUCAAACCGAAUCUGAUAUAAAUCAGAAAGAGUUGGUUCUGCUGAAAUGGUUUCAAGUUCAUUUAAUAUUGUCGGCAACUGAUGUAUACCCUGCCGCAAUUCAUUCUUUCCAACCGGAAUUUUUGUUUUUUAUCAAUGAAAUAAUUAUCAGUUGUGGUAAAUUGUAUGUAAAUUUGCAUUCAUUCUUUUUAACAAUAAAGAGAGAUAUGUAAUAAAAAUUAA